rnacentral:rRNA from 1 species
AACGAACGCUGGCGGCAUGCCUAACACAUGCAAGUCGAACGAGACCUUCGGGUCUAGUGGCGCACGGGUGCGUAACGCGUUGGAACCUGCCCUUAGGUUCGGAAUAACUCCCCGAAAUGGGUGCUAAUACCGGAUAAUGUCUUCGGACCAAAGAUUUAUCGCCUUUGGAUGGUCCCGCGUUGUAUUAGCUAGUUGGUAGGGUAAAAGCCUACCAAGGCUACGAUCCAUAGCUGGUCUGAGAGGAUGAUCAGCCACACUGGGACUGAGACACGGCCCAGACUACUACGGGAGGCAGCAGUGGGGAAUAUUGGACAAUGGGCGAAAGCCUGAUCCAGCAAUGCCGCGUGAGUGAUGAAGGCCUUAGGGUUGUAAAGCUCUUUUACCCGGGAUGAUAAUGACAGUACCGGGAGAAUAAGCUCCGGCUAACUCCGUG